rnacentral:rRNA from 1 species
UGCAGUCGAGGGGCAUCGCAGUGUAGCAAUACAUGGGCGGCGACCGGCAAACGGGUGCGUAACACGUACGCAACCUUCCCGUUACUGUGGGAUAGCCCAGGGAAACUUGGAUUAAUACCACAUAUUGCCAUGGAGAGGCAUCUCUUUAUGGCCAAAGAAUUUCGGUAACGGAUGGGCGUGCGGUUGAUUAGAUAGUUGGCGGGGUAACGGCCCACCAAGUCUACGAUCAAUAGCUGAUGUGAGAGCAUGAUCAGCCACACGGGCACUGAGACACGGGCCCGACUCCUACGGGGGGCAGCAGUAAGGAAUAUUGGGCAAUGGACGCAAGUCUGACCCAGCCAUGCCGCGUGAAGGAUGAAGGUCCUCUGGAUUGUAAACUUCUUUUUUCUGGGGCGAAAACCAGCCUUUCUAGGUUGUUUGACAGUACCAGAAGAAUAAGCACCGGCUAACUCCGUGCCAGCAGCCGCGGUAAUACGGAGGGUGCAAGCGUUAUCCGGAUUCACUGGGUUUAAAGGGUGCGUAGGUGGGUUGGUAAGUCAGUGGUGAAAUCCCCGAGCUUAACUUGGGAACUGCCAUUGAUACUAUCAAUCUUGAAUAUUGUGGAGGUAAGCGGAAUAUGUCAUGUAGCGGUGAAAUGCUUAGAUAUGACAUAGAACACCAAUUGCGCAGGCAGCUUGCUACACAAUGAUUGACACUGAGG